GCCUGGGUGGCUCAGUUGGUGGGGCGGCCGACUUCGGCUCAGGUCAUGAUCUCCUGGUUCAUGGGUUCAAGCCUCGUCUUGGGCU
rnacentral:tRNA from 1 species